GAAGGGAAGGGAAGGGAAGGGAAAAAGCCCACAGAAACACAGAAAUAAGUAGUAGAUCUGUGCUAAAAAUGAUGGUGUCCUCAGGAUUUCCUCUAUUUUCUCUCUACUAGCAGAGACUCCUCCACGUAAGCAAAGGUCUCUUAACUUCUUUAUAGGAAGCCAACUGAGCAUCUGUUACAAGAGUUGCUGUGGCUGUAGGCUUAGGCUGUUUCUUUGGGCUUUGGAACAGUCCUUUGUUGCCUCCUGAAAGUAUAAAAUGGCAUUGAAACAGUUUUGGUUUUUGCUUGAUUUGUCCAAAGAGUAUUUAAGGAGAGGUUUCAAAAUGCCAACAAAAUCUAACAAAUUCUAAUAUCACAACAGUGAUGGGAUGCCCUUUCAGUGGCAUGGACCUAAAAGUGGUUGAACAGGUGGGAGAACCCCUGGGCAGUGAGGAAAUUCUGGAUAAAAUAUAAUGCACGUUAUGAUUUAAUGUCAGAUAUGGAGAAUGUACCAUACGGUAUAAUCCUGAGUGACUAGGAAAAGAAGCAAGUGCCUUCAUUCUCUCACAGCACCAAGCUGUACAUUUUCACAGUGGAAUCAAAUGAGGACUAAAUGCAGAAGAAGCAGAGAAAAAAUAUUCAGGCAAAUAUUAUUGACAAAUGAACAGCUGAUAAGAGGGUGAUAGUCAAUGUCCUUAUUCCUGAUGUGGAUUAUUUCGUCCAGGUUAUGAAAAGCAGGUUAAUAUUUGAUCUCAUAUCAAUACAUAUUCCAUAUAAAGAUUGUUCUGGAAAACAUGUCUUGUCAUGGCCGUGAACUUACUGUGAUAGUUUACAGUAGAAAUUGACUGGGAAUCUGAAGAAUUUCACUGCAAUUAAUUAUGUGAAUACACUGAUAACCACUCCCUAUUGUAGGUGUAUUGUCAAAGGUGAUGUUACUGGCAGGUAUUUAAAAUAUGUGACUUAUGAAUUUAAUAUUAUCUCUUCUGGACUCUGUUUUACCAUUAUGGUAACUGGAUGGCAUUGAUUUUUUCCAUCUCCUGCUGCUUAUCUCAAGCUCUUUCAUUUUGCUUGCCUUAUUGAUCUUCAUGUUCCCUUCAUACAUCAUCUCACCGGAAGCUGGUAAUAAAUCAAUGAUGUGCCUCUUAAAUAUAUGCCCUACUGUAAUCCUCUGGAAGAGUCACUCAGAGCUCUUGGUGGCUAUUGGACACAUUUAAAUAAGAGAAAACGUCUUUACCUCAUCUCUUACUCUUGGAUGUGAGACCUGUACAGUAAUUUUAUUGAGCAUAUGUGUUUUAAAUGACUGCCAUAAUGUGGACUUAAGAGGAAAACACUGAAGCAAACUAAAGAGAUCUCAGUGUGAGUUUUAUAUCUUAAAUAGUUCCAUUUUUAGUGACUCAUUUCCUAGUCUUCUGCCUGUAAGUUGCAUGCUUUCUCGCAGUCCCUCUUCUUUCCUACAUCCAGAAAGACUGAAAGCUUUUCAGGACAUCCUUUCUUAUUUCCUGCUUGCAUUGCCCAUAGCGUUUAGUUCUUAACAGAGUUUCAUUAGCACAAAAGGGGAGCCUGAAAAUAGGUAUAGAAGUAGUAGCUGUGCAAAACAGUGCCAGGACAUCUAUGACUACAGAUCAUUAUUUUUGCUUCGUGCAGUGGGUAACACUGAUACUUAGUACCUAGCUCUUUCCCAUACAUGCACUUGCAUUUAUUCCAGUUGGCUUUCUGCAGUACAUAGGGAUAUUGAAACAGUUUUCUGCCAUACAGAGCUGAGUCUAGCUGGGAAAAGAAGACUUGUAUUUAUGUGCUUGAAACCAGAGUAAUAACACAGGAAGAUAAUUCUCACUUUAAAGUGGGUGCUUGAGGAAAACAUAGCAGUACAAACAUAAAUUCAUCAGCACCUUGGUGACAGAAAACAAUAUGUUAAAUUUGGGGACUUCUCCUAGAUGUCAACCUGACAAGCUAUGACGUUUCAGCUGAGCUGCAGGACAUGUGCAUGGCACAAACUAAAUCAGAUAUAGCCAUUGAGCACUAUAACUACAGGGAAGAGCAUCAUGGUCUACAUGCAAUACCUUGUGAAACUCAGUGCUGAAGACCCAAGGUAUUAAAAUUCAUUCAAAAAUUCAUUCAUUCAAGGAGAGGGACUGAAAAUGGGUAAACAAAACAAUCAAAAUCUUCUAAAUAUAUAUGCCUUCACAAGCCAAUUAGACCAAGGAACAAACAAAAAAAACCACAAGACUUACCAGCAUUGCAAUUAAAGUGAGAGUAGACAACAGUUGGUUUUGCUAGCUCUGCUGCGGCUAAGUAAACAAAUGAUACUGAAACAUUUGGGUUUUUUUUAAUCUGCUCAGAAGCCCUUCUUCAUGUGCAGGGCAGACCAGGAGACACAUUUUCUGUCCUCAUUUUUGAGUGCAUUAGUUUUUCAAAGACUUGGUAAAGAUUCGACUUGAGGGCCCUACAGCAAUGCUUCUGGACUGCUAUCAGCAUACUACCCAAUUGCUGGAGGAAUCCAACAAGCACCUGCUUUAUGCAGCACUACAGGGAGAUUUCAAAGCCCCUCAAAUUGCAGAGGAGCACCAGUAACCCUGCCCUGUAAGCCUGAGGAUGUGCGUGAGCUACUCCUUGCGUCUGCAGCAAAUGAUCAGCAGCAUUUGGUGACUACUUUAAACAUCCACAGAGUCCUUCCAUGUAGUUCUAUUGAGCAGCGUAAUUGAAAUGAUGUUGGUUGAGCACUUAGUGCCCGAUGGUCUCUCAGGCAAUCAUAGGUGUGCUUACAAUCUCUAGCCAUGCAGUGUGCAUCAUGGUGCCUUGCUAGCAGUGGCAGUCCUAAGAGAAAUUCCCCCCUUCUCAAACAGGUUUCCCCACUGAAGCCUGGCCAAAUCUCAUUUCUACUCAAACACAGCCCUGACAAGCACAGUUUUUCCUGCCUUCUAAUGUCUAUCCAAACUGUGUAAUUUCUUGCUGCUACAGUAUGAUGGACUAAUACCAUUAGAUCACAAUUCUCUUUAAACUUCCUGGUGGCAACAGGACACCUGGUUCAUGGCAAGGCCCCUGCCCUGGCACAUGAGCUCACCAGUGAGUCCCACUCAGCUCUUUGAAGGUUAUCCAGGAGCCCACGGGUCCCACAGCAUCCCCUGUGACUGCUGGAUAAGACUGCCUGGACAAAAGCACCAACCGGGGCUUGGGGGCACUUAUUCUAAUUGACCAGAAAUGCUGAUUGUAUUAUAAUUAAAUUGCAGUCUAAUUUUACUUGGUAACAACAGAUAGAACAAAAACAACAGAAAUUAAGACACGGAGAAUGGAAACUGCACUAAAUUCUGGUAGGAGUAUCAGGCCAGAAUUAGGCUGGUUAGAGAAAUGUUGCAGUAUUAAUAUCACAUUCAGCAGUAACUGUGGAAAUGAAUAUUUGGAGAUCUAAAACUGCCAUAGUUUUGUUUUGUUUUGUUUUUCUUUCCCUAAUGCUACAUCUGUCCAGACAUACUCUCAGACUCGUGGGCUUGGACAGGAAACAGAAGCCCUCCUUCUAAUUGCCAUUUUUUGACUGUCAUAUUGCUUCCCCAUUGCCAGACCAGCUUUUCAUUCAGCGUGCUGUAGAAAAAAGUCAGCUCAUUGUGCAGAUCAGUGAUCAAAGGUGUUCAUUGUGCAAGGCCUAGAACUAGGUCAUUCAGUUCCCCAACAGAUUUAAUCAUCUAUCUCUUUUAGUGAACUCUGCAGGAAAGGUGGCUUGUUACAUUUCUUGGGGAUAUAAAUGAAAGCCCUCAUUGCUUCAGUCUAUGAAAGUCAUGAGAUAAAGUUUUGUUUAAUGCUGGAAAGCCCAUUCCUGGAGGUACCAGCUAUCAUGCCGUGUUUGCUCUAGAGCUCAUGCUUACAUGUAACAAUUUACCUUUCUGAAAGCUGCUUCAUGGGGAGAGCUGAAAAUUGCUUAAACCAUUCUUCAUACACAACGCGGAUGACAGACUGUAACAGCAGAGUUAGCAUCACGAAUAUUCCCUUUUGAUCUUUUCUUUCUACUACCUCCACCACUGCAAGCUUUAAAACACCCCAAUUCCUGACACCAUUCCCUCUGUGGCAUUGCAUUGGUGACAUGACACCUACAGCUUUUACUUGAAAAUAAUCCUGGAGAGACAGCUUCAUCUGCAUUGGCCAUUGCUGAGUUUACCCUGUGGUAAAAUGUACACCCCUGCUUUCUUCCAGGAUUUUAAGGGAAGGGUAGCUCAAAAGCACUCAUCUUCCCAUUGAUGAAACACACCACUUCCAACAGCAACGCUGGAAUUGCAACUAUGCAGGGAAUUGUGGCUUGACCUUCUCAGGAGAGCUAAAACCUAGUGAGGCUUUAUUGCUCACCACCGAAAAGUAGCGUGGUUUGGAAAUUAGCCUGCAGACUUUCCAAGAUCACAACUGGCACCGCUGCUCUGAAAGCUGGGCUACAGGAGAGUGACUUGAAUGGAGCUGUAGACUGAAAGCAGCAGGACACCACUAUGAGACAUUUGUUCUUUUCACUGACAAACCAACACGAGAUUAAUGUGCAGAGAGUUAUUAAUCCUCCUACAAACAGGUAAUUUUUCAGUUCAUUAAACAUUAUUGCUAAACUACCAGCAACUCUUCCUCCACUACUGACCCCUGAGAAGAGCAGCUCACAACUAUAUGGGAGCAGAAAUAGAUAUUAAGCUGUUUCAUCCAAUGAAAUGUUAUAAUGUGCAGGAUUUGUUGUUGUUGCUGUUAUGUGGUUUGUUUGAUGGGGAUGGACAGUGAAACUUGGUUUGUUUACAUUGAGGUAUUUCAUCAGUGCUGAAGAGGUGUAUUUAUUCAGCUCAGGAAAUAUUUAUUUCACACUUCCAGAACUUAUACAAACAGCAGAGCUGACCGACCUCUUCCCCUCUCCUCCCUUCCAUCACCUUCCUCAACUCUUGCCUUCCGGCAAUAUAAAAACACAACCCUGUGCCUCUCCACCUUACUCAGCUAUUCCUUAGGAGAGGCCUCUGCAGAGCAGCUGGAACCACCCCUUUGCCUGAAGCCUGAAUUUCAGCCCUGUGUGCAGGGGAACAUCUCUGCACCCUGCCUGUGCUGCUAGUUGGGAUGUGGAGAGUUGUGGUUUGAAGGAUGUGCUGAAGGAAGAAGGUAACCAGAUGAAUAGUAUAUUUCGGUGGAUCUUUUCUCACUCUGCCUUUGAAAAGCAAAAGAAAAAAAAAGACAUAUUCUUUCUGAUAAGAAAAGAACAAGUUGAGGAGGAACACUUGGUUAAGAAAUUAUAGGAAUCUUAGAAAUCUGAUAAAAUGCAGAGAUACCUCUGAAAACACUUUAGACCCUGCUAAUCUGGGUUAUUAAAUUAAUCUGGUUUUACGUGCAAGAGAUAUUUGCUCAAAAAUCUCAAGAAAUUAUGACCUUCAGAUCCAGUCCAUGAAUGCAAUUUCAAGUCUCCAGAACAGCUAUUAGUGUAGUAAAACCUCGUUUUUUCAUCCAAACGAGUAACUGGUAGUCCAAAUUUCUUUACUGAGUGAUCAAAGAUUCAUUUUUAGCUAGGUCACAUCCAUAGUGUAUGGGAAGUGCAGUCACGGCCUGAACCUCUGAUUGACCACCUGAGGGGAGCAAUGUGUCAGCCACAGGAGCACAGGUGAAGGCAAUUCAGCUGUGCUGCCAGAAGUGGUGGAGCCUGGCUGCACUCCUCCUAGACCCAUUUAAGAGCUGGCUACCAGUGGGGAAGGAUCUCUUCUGGAGAUUGCCUCUGCUGGAGUUUUGUGAGUGAGCCCAGGAUAGGGGUAAACCUUCUAUUUAUUCUCUUUUGUUAUCUUAGUCUGCUUUGCCUCUCAUUUAUUUUGUGAUUAUAACAUCCUAAAAUUCUUUGAUUAUACACGUAGUUACAUAAAAGCAAUGUCGUGGCCCUGAGAAUAAUAAUGCAAUGCAGUCAGCUCUGUUCUUCAGCUAGGAGCCCAGUAAAGAAUCUACGUGCAUUGAAGAACCACACUUCUCAGUGAAUAACAAAAUCUACUUGUUUUUGCAGUGUUAAAGUACUCACCUGUCUUCAGCAGUGAGAGAGGGAGUUUACACAAAAUGCUUAGGCUGCUACACUAGCUGAAAUUGAGCAUACCCAGUGUGUAAAACGGCAGCACUUCCAUUAAACUGACCUAGGCUGGCCUAUGUAGCUCCCAAUGGCUUUCCUGCUGAUAUCUAGGCUGAUGUUCUCAGUCCAUAAGUUUUAUGACAAGUCCUUGCGUACAGAAGUGUGCACUGUAAGCAUUUGAGUCAUGCUUACAGAUUUAAUCUAGGCCGGGAAUGAAAUAAGUAUGGACUACACAAAUCCAUCAACAAAUUAUUUGGCUUAAGAUUCUGUAUCUUGUAAUCAAUACAUUCCAGAAUUAAGUGACAUGCCUGCAAGUCCUUGCUUCCAAGGGAACCUGUGUGCUUUCCAAACACUCAAGGCAGUUCCAGUCAUUUGGUUUCCUGAAAUAGAACUCGAGGAGAGGAUUAGGAGAGCUUUGGACAAAGUAUGGAAAUAUAAUUAGGCAUCUGCAGUCCCACAGCAAUCAAUAGGCACUCAGGCACCUGAGAGACUUGCUGGAGCCUGCCCUUAAGCACUACUGGCAGUUUCCAAAGGGCAUCUAAGCAGCUGUUACCUGGCCUUACAGGUUGCAUCCAUUUCUAAGUUCACAUCCAACAAUAAUGCCAAGGGGACUAAUAAUGCCAGUGGAAGGGGGCUAUGUCCCGAAUCAGGAUUUUGCCUUUGCUCACCUUGCUACCUUUUACAGCACACUGGGAGGCAGGCAGGCCAUCAAAUACUGCAGUUCUGAAACUCAGUUCUUAAGCUCGCAUCCAGCGCCUACUUUCACGAUAUUUGGAGAGGGGCAGGCACUAGCUUGUGAUGUUGAAUGGUGCCUAGUGCCGUGGGCUCCUAGUAUUUUAACGAGCAUGUUCAUUCUGAAUAAAAGUUACUCCUUUUCAUUUUAGUGGUCUUGCAGAACUAAGUGUCCUUGAGCACGCAGCAAGCUACAAUUGCCAUACUUGAGAGUUGACGUUAACCAGAAUGACCUGAACCGCUAUAAGAGUUCAGCAGCCCCAAAAGAAAGACAUCUCAACCAGAAGAGUAGGUCGGCUUUCCUCAACGCUAACAUUUCAACAGAAUCUGAAACUUUCCACAGGGGAUCAGGAAGCCUUCAACACGUGAACUGAAGAUGUUAAGCUACAUUUUGGAUUACAGCUUGUUCUACAGUGUGACUGCAUGGGAUGGCAGCAGAAAGGCAGCGCUAGAGCGACCAGAGGUCAAAGGAAUGAGACCUGCAGUGAGCAGUAGCUUUGUAUCAUACUGGAAGAGUCAAGGCACCAUUUCCCUACUGCUGUAAAAACUGUAGUUUACACUCAACUGUAAACAAACAGCAGCACUGAGUGAAAGCUGGUUGGAAAUAAGGCUUGACUAGGAAGUCUGAUGCAUGUGUUCAGGUUGGAUAUCAGGAAAAAAUUCUCAGAGUGCUGAGGUACUGGAACAAGCUGCCCAGGGAAAUGGUGGAGUCACUGUCACUGGAGGUGUUCAAGAAACAUGAAGAUGUGGCACCGAGGGACGUGGUUUAGUGGCAUGGUGGGGAUGGGUUGAUGGUUAGACUAGAUGAUCUCAGUAGUCUUUUCCAGGCUUAAUGAUUCUGUGAUUCUAUGUGCCUGCACAGCCCAGAAAGCCAACUGUAUCUUGGGCUUCACUCAAAGAAGUGUGGCCAGCAGGGUGAGAAAAGUGACCCCGCCCCUCUGCUCUGCUGUUGGAGAGGCCUCAUCUGGAGCACUGUGUCCAGAUGUCGAGUCCUCAGUACAGGAGAGACAUGGAUCUAUUGGUGCAUCCAGAGGAAGGCCACAAAAAUGAUCCAAAGAAUGGAACACCUCCCCUAUGAGAACAGGCUGAGAGAGCUGGGGCUGUUGAGCCUGGAGAAAGCUCUAGGGAGACCCGAGAAUGACUUUUCAGUCACUAUAAAACAGGGCUACAAGAAAGAAGGAGACAGAUUCUUUAGCAGAGUCUGUUGCGACCAGACAAAGGAAAAUUGUUAUAAACAAAAAGAAGGGAGAUAUAAGGAAGAUGUUUUUUAUGAUAGGGGCAUUGAGGCAGAGGAACGGGAUGCCCAGAGGGGUGGUGAGUGCCCGGCCUUGGAGACAUUGAGGAUCAGGCUGGAGGGGGCUCUGAGCAAUGUGGUCUAGCUGUAGGUAUCCCUAUUCACUGCAGGGGAGUUGGACUAAAUGGCCUUUAAGGGUCCCUUCCAACUCAAACGAUUCUAUGAUCCCAUAUACCAACUGCUGCAAAGAAAGAAAGGAGAUGUCUGUUCCUCCUCAGGUUCCCACUUGCAGGACCUCAGCUCAAGGCAGGUACAAGUCAGAGAAGGUGCAUCAGAGAAAGGCACCCUUUCUGAGACCAGUAUUUUCAACUUACAGGUGGGAAUUUUAAUUCUGUGUUUCAUGCUGACAUUCAAACACUUAACAAGGAAAAUAAAAUACUUUUCUCCCAAACAAUUCGCUUCUGCUUUCACAUAUAAUUUCAUGGUGCAACAAUAGGGUACAAACAGAAGGGAAGACACAUGAAAAAUAUACGAACAAACUAGUUCAGCCUUGGAAGUAAUAAAAGCAGAGUGCAUCUUUGCUGUAAACCACAUCCACUCUGCAGUUUUGUGAGCUUCAUGGCUUUUCAGAGAGGCAGAGCUGGUGCCAUGCAGGCAGACACAGGACAAUCUUCCCUGUGCUUUUGAGCAGUGUGUGCUGGAAGCUCAGGUCCUAGGAAGCUGGAAAUCAGACCGUGAACAGAUAGAUGAGCAGCUUUCCUCCCAUGGCCCACAUUAAGAUGAGGAAAACAGAAGCUUGAAGUUCUAACAGUGCAAUACCAACGUAAUUUGUCAUUUUUGUUUCUCAUAGCUAUGGGGUACCUGCCCUAUAGGAACAUGGUUGUAACUGAAAGAAAUGCGCCAUCAUGGAUAACAAGCAGCUGAGGAUUUUCAAACGUUUGCUAACUCAUCUAUCAACCUGAUAACAAACACCUUCCCAUUGUUUUCACACACACAAAAAAAACCAACCCAAACCAGAAAGUUUUCACUGCAGCUUAUUGAAUUUAAAAUUGAGCAUGGACUCAGCACAACCAAAAGAAAGGGAGACUAACAAAUACCUUCAGCAAGGAACACGAACUUCAUUUUGAGUUAGUCUGAUAGCUGCCAGGAUAUGUUUUUGCCUGAGGAUCCCAAAAUAUAGGUGGGUCUUCUGUAUCAAUCCAGAAGGAUUCACAUCUCCUCACCCUCCAAAACUAGGUCUUGGUGACAUAAACGUACCUGAUUUUAUGGAACAGUGCUAGUUGAAAUAAGCUAGAAAAUCACAGUGUGCCCCACCACCAGACCAGAGAGCAUCACUGAACCCAGCUUUUAUAAGCUAAGAGAGUCCAUGAGCAUCUGAAAUUCCUGAGCAGGAAGGGUCAGCAUUCCUGCUUUUUCUAGAAAAAAAAUCAAACGAGUCAUAGAAGCAUCCAUACAUAAUUUUAAGAAAACAGGCUUUAAAUUACUGACAGAGUUAUCUGGAGACAUAACUUUGCACAUGUCUGUGCUAUAUUCUGGUGUGGCACGUAUUGCAAUUGCAUGCCCAGUGAUUGGAACCAGGCUCACCUGGUACAAGUCAUCUACCCAUUUGAUAGAAUUGGCCAUGGAGUUUCAGAAAGUCAGAUUUCAUGGACACGAUGUACUUUGGAAUCUUGUAAUCGUGUAAUGCUUCACGCCUCAAAAAAAGAAAAAGCUAAUAUACAAAAGGGAAGCUUCGGUUGCACAAAGUACCAUUUAUUCACCUGAAUCAUCCAAAGGCCAAGGGAAAGACUGCUACUGACUCAUAGCAGCUACUGAAUCAAGUGUUGAGUUAGAAAUCACUCAUUUCAGCUUAGGAAAAAACACAAGCUUCCUAGAAGAUCACAUGGUGAUGAAGUUUUAUCCUUUCAUAGCCAAAGCCAUAGGAGCACUGUACCAACUCAGAGUGUUUUUCUUUUCUAUGACAGCUUUAAUAAAAGCCAGUUACAGUUCUGAUGUUACAGAUUUUUUAAAGUCUUUUUCAAAUUCUUGUUUAAUUUGUAUCCACAGAAAUCCAAAGCAUCUUGACUGCUCAAGGAUUCCAUCUCUAAUGGGCUGCUCCAACUCAUACAUCCAUGGCAGAUGAGUGAGCCCCCAGGCAUUAUCCAUGACCAGGUCCACCCAGAUAUCUGUAAGGGCCCAGGCAGCCUGGGGUGGCACAGGAGAGGACUUUAGCCAUACAAACUUCUGACCCAUAGCAGGACCACUACUGGCAGCUCUCAUUGUUUUGCCUGCUUCUGCAGCACUGGUUCCUUCCAGCACUAUCCUGCAGACAUCAGGGCCUGGCAUGCAGUCACUCCCAUUUUCCCCUACACACACAUACACACACACACGUUUCUCUUCUUCGCCUCAGUCUAGCAGAACCAUUCUCAACAACCAAUGUUUCUCUGAGCCUGCAAACACAAAAGAACAGUGGACAAGAACCAACUCCUUCCCCCCAAAAGCAAAUCACUUCCCAUCAAUUUCCCUCCCAGAACUGUCAGAGAUGGUAGAAACUAGAGAUGGAAAACGUCUGUCUCUUUCUGUGGCCCCUUGCCAUUACCUGACUUAGCUUGUUACAAAGACAUUGUGGUCACUGUCAUUGUGGCCUCUAGCAGUGAACUUUUCUCCUCUCUAAGGUGGAGCACCAGGACCGCCCUGCGCAAGAGGCUGUGGUGAGCAUGCACUGAGCUAUGCUGUGUUGGCAUAGGGAAGCCAUAGGGUACCAGCCAUGGGGAAGGGGUACAUCUAAGGACAGAUCUCUGUCAGGUAGAAGAAAUUUCUUUUAGGGUACAACUUCGCACAGGUUAUGAGUUGCACAAUCAAUCACCUGGGAAUUUUACCACAAUUUCCCUCUCUGCAUUCCCUGGUUUAUUGUCACGCUCAGCAUGUACUGUCUUCCAUUGCCAUCUAGGGAUACAGACUGGAAACAGCAAGCAAACAUUUACAUAAGCUUUAUUUAAAACCUAUUUCAAGCUGAUAAAAUAGGUUGGUUUGACAGAGGCUGGUUAUUUAGUUGCUUUUGGGGAAGAAAAAAAUACUUUAAAAUCCUUUCUCCGUGAUCUCACAAUAACUGUGUGUUACUGAUCACUUCAAUCCCACUUAUCACACACAAAGGAUGGUAGACAGGUAAGCACACACCACAGCAGUCAGCUCACACCUCUGCAUUGCAGGACACUGCUUCAAACCUGGCAGCUGUAAAUCCAAGCACUUUUGCACUUCUUUCUUAAGCAAAAGCUUUCUGAAUGCACACAGGUUUUGGCUGUUACAAGCCCAGUUUUGAAACUGUUUGUAUAGCCUACCAUCAAAGGCCCACUUUUGAAAAUAAAAACCCAGUGGAUGCUUUGCCAGUAUCAGCACUAUAAGAUGUAAUCUGGAAAGUACUGUCCAUCCAAUUUAAACAAUUUUAGGACAAUUUCUCUUGAUGCAUGCUUGGACUGGAAAAAAGUCAAUCCCCUUUCUUCCUAGAUCACUAAACUAGACCAGAGGCAUAAACUGCAACUGAUGCAGCUUUCAGCAGCUGUAUUGUUCCCAUCACAAAGCUGUGCUGCUGGAUAAGCAGAGCUGGGCAGCUCAACCUAAGCAGCAUCAUGCUUGCCAAAAGCUCACACAGUCCAUGCUGUGUCUUACUGCAAGGGGAUCUGUAAGAAAGCACUGCUUAGGGGAUGGAUUUAGAGCACUGAGCUAAACACAAGAACUCUUCUGGGCAAGAAAUGCCUGUUACAUAAUGUAAGAGAGGCUAUGUUAAUAGUUGGCUUAUAGAAACAUAGCCCCACAAGUCAAGCACUUGAAGAUUAUCACGUUGCCUCUUUGAAUUCAAUUGUUUCCCCCAAGCUCCCCUUUUAAAACAUUCUUAAUGCCUUCCUUCUAAAAAAAAUGAGUAUUAGCAGUCCAAAAUCAAUUUAGCUGCUCACAUACCAAUCAGAGAUCAGACAUCAUCUCUUGUGAUUUAGGUGAGCUGGGAGUCUACUGAGUAAAUGGAGCGAAUGUCAUAGCCUAGACAAUUUCAAAUAUCACAUCACCUUUUUUUUUGCUUAACACCCUGUAGAGCCUUGAGACAGCCAUGUAAAAGUGGUACUGCCAUUUUAAGCAACCAACUGAGCAAGUUUCCUUUGCAUUUCCACUGCUGCACUGUCAUCUAGCAGCAGGCAACUGCUAGCAACAGGGUGCUUUCAUUUUGUGUAUAAAAUACUGUCCUCAGAUGCUGACUUGUUCUCAGCCAGCCUUGCCCAUUUCCAGUCUCGCAGGGCUUUUUUCCUCCACUGCAAAUUUCCAUAGUGGACUACUGGCAAAUUCCCUCGUUCAGAGGGAACUGUCCUGAAGUUGUCAGGAGGUCUUAUCAGGCAGAUGAAAGAUAACUGAAGGACUAUAACACACCAACACCAAGCAUCCAGCUCCAUCAGAUCACAAACCUUAAACAGCACGUUCUGUUAGUUUAGAUUUAUUGCUGGAGAUGCAGCUGCGUACCAAACUGUCUGCUAUAAACACCAGCUAAGAAAUGGAAACCACACAGCUGCUCCUGCACAGUGCAAGGCAAGUGCCAGCAGAUGUAUUGGCUUCAGGUGGGGUGACACAAAGGGCUCUGCACUGCACAGAGGUACAGAUACCUCCUUCCUCCUUGCCCCCUGAAGAAACACGUGCUGUUGCAUUAUGCACUUCCUUCCAGUGUUACUGAACAAUGAUCUGGUUUCACUGCGACUUUGUUCUAAGAAUGAAACAAGUUACAGACCCCAUGAGAUGCCCCUUCCCUCAUCCCAGUGUCCUGCAGAAGCAGCUUAGCAAUCUACACAAGACAAGCAAGGGUGGUUGAGGAUUCCAGUGCUCAGCUGCUUUCAAAUAAAGCACUAUUCACUGUGUUCCACUGCAGGACAAUCAGGAAAUAUCUUCAUGCCACUGCAAAAUCAUACCUAAGGGAAAGGUGGGUAAGGAAGGAAAAUACUCUUUUUAGUAUUCCCUGUAAUUUUUUUUCAUACAGAAAUCUCACUCGUUCUCUUGAAUAACUCAUGGCUCAUUUUACAAGUUACUGCUGGACAAAGGAACCCAGACACUGGUUUUGUUCUGCAUCUUGAAAUCCCAAUCCGUGCUUUGAGUUACAGGUGCUGUAGGUCUGACAAGUGUUUGCAGAGCUAUCUUUUCCACCAGUGUUAACAAGCACAGGUGUGUCAAUACUACUGAUGCACGCUGAUGCAGCCCAUCAAUCAUCAGGAAAUAAGCCCCUCACUGUAGAUGUAUUAAGCAGCUAAGGGUGCUUCCUCUACAACAGGGGCUGCCCUUAGUUGAUUUUUCUAGCAGGACUCUUUGGAAUAGGCCAUUUUUAACCUUCCUCACUGCAGAACUACUCUCUGGUUCUACAUCAUUGUAUUUGACAUUUGCUAGGUCCAUCUAAAUGAGCACCCUCCUAGUUCACAUCAUGGACAGCUACCAAAACAUCUGCAGUGCCACCUCUCACGGAGUCAGCAGCUCCAUCAUGACACCAAGAGUUGUCUGUCAGUACUGUAGGAACAGUGCUGUUCCCAUACCUAAUUUGAUAGGGACCACAAACAGCUACAGAUGAAUCCCAUUUUCAAGCAGCGCAGCCAUUCUACCUGCAACCACAUCCACAGAAUUCAGAAUACUCUAACCGAAGUUUUGACAUAAUGCACAGAUUAAAGUGGUGGGGUUUUUUCACCUGUAUAAUCAAAGAUGGCUUAAAAUAUGGGGGAAAAAAAAUAAUUAUAUACACAAGUACUACUAUCUGACCCCAAAUUCAGUUCUGAAAUGUGAUGUUACAUUUCACAGACGUCACGUUCUAAAAUAGCUAAGACCAAACUUGUGCACAUAUUAGUGGCUUCUUAAAACACUGCUUAGUCAAGAAAUUGGAUGGUCUUCUACCUAAAAUUUCAGAUCUCAAGGCAAUAGUCAUUGUCUUGUUUUAGAGCUACGAUCAUCCCAGAACAACUCUCAAUACUUUGAUGUCAGUUAACAUGACUUACAGCAGAUAUUUAGAAGUGGAAAUGGAACACUCCUUGAAGACAUCAGCUCUGUUACAAGAGGAUGACAUACACUACAUUAAAUGGCACUUCUAUCUUCCACCAAAAAAAAGGAAAACCAAUCCUUUCUUACUAGUAUUAAAAUUCCAUUUGCUUUGGAAAAGAAAAA